AAAACUAUACUUUCAGAUAUUGUUUCUAUAGUUUAUUAGAGAAGCUGUGCAGAGUACCAGAAUUACAAGGAGGAAACGUACCAUUCUCACCUGAGUGCGAAGCUAGCUUUUUGUGUUGCUUCGCUGCAACUGCCGCUUGCCAAUGAUCAUUCUUCUCUCUUUCAGGAGAGCAGAGGGAAAGAAUGAAGUCUGAGUGGG
rnacentral:snoRNA from 1 species